AUGCAUACAGCAGGCUCUUCUGGGGAAAUCCCAAGCACAACUGACUGCAAGCAUUCAUUCAGCUGUUCUAGAUUAGCUAGACUUGCUGAUUUGCAACAGAAGAGAUGUAAUUUAUUCACUGAUACAUGCCAGGGCAAGAGUUACAAAUCAGAAGUGUAUCUGCAAGGCAGAUUAUUUAUCUCCAAAGGAAACUCUUGCCAACUGAUCCCAGGCAGAAGAUUGGCUUUGGUUCUGCAAGCAGCUGCUCAUCUUCCCACUUUGCUGGAGAUUGAGUUAUAUAUACUACAUCUUAUUCACCUAAAAAGAAACAGUGUGACCACAAGUUAA
rnacentral:lncRNA from 1 species